CUCUGUGAGCCAAUCCGUCAAAACAUUUGCUGCUUUGAAAAUGUGCUCUUCAAAAAAAUGGGCAUAUGGAACUUAUUAGACUAUUUGGUGGAGUUCAGGCAGCAGAGCCCAAAAGAAGCAUAAAAACAUCUAAGGACACAAUUCUGCCUUAAGAGGGUUCAAUGCUCUGAGAUAAUGAGGUCCUCCCAGGCCGUUGCCUUCUCUUUGCUGAGUUCCAGAAAUAAUCAUCAUGGCUCUUUGGUCCAGGAAAAUGUGUGCCAGAGACUUCCUAUAAAUGAACUCCCGUCCACCAGCCAUGGCUUACCUAAAACCAUAUGCUUUAGAAGAAGCAAGAAGGGAUCACAGAUGUAUUUUUUCCCCACAGGACAAAAGAUAAACUGCAAUAAAUAUGAUAACAAGCUAUUAAUCAAGAAACUUCACUGUAAUAUAGAAUGAAAAGUAGUUCAACAGAAAAUUUGUGACUUUCUACCAAAAAAGAAAUAAGUCACAGUUUUAAGUCAGCACAGAAAAGGUUCUGUAAUAUUAGACAAUUGAUUCCAACGGGAUACACUUUCCAGGAAGAAUUUAUGUUCUUUUGUUUGUGCAAUCCCUCACAAGGACACAUCUAAUAUGCUUUCAUAGACUCUUACAUUUCCACAGCAACAUUUUCUUCAGAAUACAAUUUAAGUGGGUUUUCAAAGGCUCAUGAGAUACAGGAAGCUCUGAGGAACAGAAGGAUGAUAAACUGAGCUCUGCUCUCAGUUACUCUGUCUUGUCACUAAACCAAUCCAGAAUUUAGGCUGCUGUACCUGACAAAAGGCUUUGCCUCACCAUCACUCGCAAUUGUUGUGCCAUACAAGGCAGGAUGCCUUAUUGUUGAAAGAAAAUCAGUGGCAAUGUCAAUUCAGAUUUGGUCUGAAGAAAACACGGAUGUUUUUUAUACAGAGACACAGUCCAUUUGUCAUACAUAACAUGUACUUUUGAAUGACAUGACGUUUUUAGAAAGGAGCGUGUCUUCUCUGUAUUGAAAAAAAUCAACUGCAUGAGUCAAAUAUUUCUGCAGUGAAAAACAAAGGCCUCCAAUAAAUAAAAAUUCUGGUUUAAGCUAAUUUGUUGUUCUGAGAAUAUGUACUCACUACUCUUUUAUUGCUUGUGAAAGUGCUUAUUAAAUAAGCAGCUGCUGACACACAUAAGCAAAUACAAAGCAUUAAUUCCUGACUUAGCUUUCAGAUUCUGAGAGUGGAAAAAUCAUGAAAGAAACUACUUCUCACAAGAUUUUCCUUUGUGGCAUCCACAGAAGACUGCUUGCUCCUGUUUUCCCCCUGUGGAUUAUGAUUACUUCUGUUUCCAGGCAUCUGACUGCAAAUCCAAGGUCCUAGGGCUCCUUUACAAGUUCUAAAAUGAGUGACUUCUUAUUCUUCCUGUAUGCCUUUGCAAUUCUUUUGCUGUAGGCAUUUUAAUUCCAUUCCAGGGAAAAUGAAGACAUUUUUAGCAAUGGAAGUAAUUUUAGCUCACCAAAACUCAGCGAAGUAAUGAUAGAGGUCAGGUGGGAGAAUUUUAUCAUUAUCAAAGGUAACAAGACUCACUUGGUAAACAAAUGUGCUUUUUUUCAUCUACUAAUGGCAUGUUCUGGAGAAUCAGAAGAUAAGCUAUUGCAACUACUUCUCUUUAAUUCAGGUAAUAUGGGGGUUUGUAUUUAGAAAUUAAAGUUCUGAAUUUAUUAUAAAGAUAAUAUUCUAUCAGAGUACAAAUUGAUUUUUUUAUACCCCAACUGUUCAUUAAAAUUUUCUUCCAUUUCUCAAGACAUGUGACAGGGAACUUUUCAAAUGGUAGAGGGUUGGUAGAAUUUUGUGUACUUUAAAAUCUAUGCGAAAAGAAAAAAAUACUCUUUCUUUCUACAUCAAAGGAUACUUUUUUUAUUUCAUGAACUGCAGAGUCAUAGUCUGUCAGAAAGAUCUUCCUUUGAUAUUUACAUGGAAUUGAAGAAUUUGCCUCCUGAUUAGUUCCAGCCAAAAAAUCAAAGUGGAUUUUGAGUUUCCAGCAAAAAUUUAGAAAGCAAUAAAUGGUUCAAAAGUUGUGUUUUCACAAGUCUGGAGUUCAAUAAAUUUUUCCAUGUGCCAUAAGCCUGGGCAGACUGUAUCUUUCAUGAUGUACCGUGACCUCACAUGCUCUGAUCUUACUGGAAAGUUUUCUGCCC